rnacentral:lncRNA from 1 species
AAACCUUAGUCUUUUUAAAACCUGGGAGUGGUAUCUACAAAGGUGGCCACUUCAACUGUUUACACUGCUCUGAAGUGUGGGCCCAGGAACGCAGCCCACAGGUCUGUAAGCUGAGCAUGUUCCAACACAGAAUCUCUCCACUCACGAACGGAGUGGUUAUGCGGUUGGGCUGGAAAGCACUGCCCAGCAUUUUUGCAGCAUUUCAGUCCUGAAGCAUAGGUUGCUGUGUAGGCAGAAAGAAAAGUAAAUCACCCACCCUACAUCAGAUUGGUAACCGAGCUCCUUUGCACAUUUCUUCUAAAAUUUAUUCUAGCUGCCCCAAAGGCAGCUGUUGUAAUGGAAAAAUAAAGAACAUAUGUGAAAUUGAUGGGGGGAAAAUUAUUUUCAGGUUUAACCAGAGUUCUGUGAGGCUUGUUUCCUUUAAGUGUCUUUCGUUUCCCAUAAUCAACUUAUUUAUAAAGAGAGAUUCUAUUUGAAUUCCGAAGUGUAAAUUUUACUAAUCUUUGUGUUCUGCUUUAUUCCUCCAGAGUCAGUCAGCCUCUUUUUGAUCACGGUUUCUUUACGCUAAGAAAUGUAUGGAUCUUCUGAAAUCUGCCCCGAUGGCAUCCUUAACUUAAAUGGGGUCGCAUCAAUGUUGGGAGUAGGGGGAAAAAAGAGCAGAUAACAUCACCAACGUGUUACGUGGUGCCUCAUUCAAGACAAAUCUAAGAAUCACAAUGGAUAGGGGCUUCUGACACAGUAGCGGGCACAUUGCUGCUUCUAACGGACGCUUUUCUGACCCGUGUGCUAGCAGAGUGAUGGAUCAGGGAAUCCAGAACAUUCCAGCCUUCCAUGAUCAGAUCGUUGUUGCAACGAAAGGUCCAGCUGCAGCCAAAUGAGUUCCAACUCCCAGAGAAAUAGAUGGGGAGUCACGGAUUUUAUCUUCCAUUAAGAAAAAUGUGUCACAGUCAAUAUAAAAGCACCAAGGAGCCAAUUAACAUUUGUGUGAGAAGAAACAGGACAAGUGCCACAAUUGAAGACCUUGGGGCCUCUGAAAUAAAAACAUUUCUCUGACACUUUAACCAAAGUAAAUAUAAAGGGAUUCAACAUGAUUAUUAAAAAAAUACAUUUUACAUGGAUGUUAUUGCAUUAUUCUAAGAGCAGUGUAUGCUUGCAGCAAAAAAUUUGGAAAAUGCAGAGACACGCAAGAAUCAUCCACAUUUCUUACUAGUUUUACUUCUAUCCAUCUAUCUUUA